rnacentral:lncRNA from 1 species
CAGUAUGCUUCUGUUGCUUUGAAGCAGAAAGUUAUCUAGCAUUCACCUACAGACGUCACGAGAUGAAGACUCCUUCAUGUUGCCUAUUCUCACAUGCUGUAUCUGUUUACACUUGCCAUAUCUUUAACUUGCAGAAUUUGUUGUUGUGCCUUUUUAUUCUUCAUUUCAAAGGCAUUCUUAUAUGCUGCUUUUUUUCCUCUUUUACUGAGGUUUGACAAUGACAACUUUCUCUCUACAGACUGGAAACAAGCUCCCUCAGGAAAACCAUCCUCUUUCCAUAGGACAGGAACACACGACUUGUCAGAAGAGCCUAGAUUCACAGUGUAUCAUUCAGUAUCCCAUUUCUGACUACCAAAAGCAUUGGAUACCUCAGAAGAAGAUUUUUUACAGCUUCUCAUUUAGUGUGGAACUGAAGGACAUUUCCAGGACAACUGAAUCUGACAUCGCCAUCAUUUUCCCAAAGACAUUCAUGUGGAUGCCAUUAACAGACAGUAAUUCAAGACUGGAGUACUUGAGUAACCUAGCUGAUCUUGGAAACAGAAAGGGAGGUGGGAAGAUGGAAUGAUGGAAUGAUUUCUGGUCAUCACGCCCCCAGGUCUCCUUCUGUGAACCACAUCAGCUUUACAUGUGGCCUUUGCCAACAGAAGUUACCUAGAGUUUAUUCUGUAAGUAACCUUCUGGAUUUUAGGGACGCACACAUGGUAUCUCUUUUUGACUACUUAGAAAGAAAGAUCAGCUGAAGUUAUUCACACCUUUGAGUCCUCCCAAAGAGGACAGAUUUCCUGAGGUUUCAUCAUUUGUGAUUACUAGUAAAGGUUACUUAGAUUAACCAAAGUGAGAGCCAGUUGCCCCACAGACCACUUACCCAGAAUGUUUUGAAUGUUAAGUUCAAGCACAAACCCAUUACAAAAGACAAAUUAGUUUGACUAACUUGAGAUCAACCCUAAGUUCUGUGUCAGCCUUUAACAUGAGACAAUUCAUUUGUUAGAAAGGUGGCUAUCAGAAGGGGUCCUUAUAGAGUGGGAGAUCAGUGUAGAAGCUGCCUCUUCUUGAAAAGCACACAGAAACUAUGGAGAACACUGAGUAAGCGUGAAAUCAAGUGCUUUAAGUCAAGAAAGAUGUUGUGUUAAAAUUUUCACCAGCUCAGCUUGAAAUUUUUUCAUCAAUUUUAAAGGUUUUUUUCCAUUGGCAAAUACUUAAAUUCUCAUAUUAUAAAAGACUAAUUGAGAACAAACGAAAAAAGACUUUAAUAUGUUAGAGUGUAGAAACAUACAUGGAACAGGACAGUGGGAAAGAACUUUGACCAGCUGAUGACCACAAUUACACACAUUUACCACUAGAAAGAAUUAGUAUUUUUACAAACACUUUAUUUUUCUUCUUCCAGGCCUUUUCUCUUUUCCCAUACUCCUAUUUAAUUUUCCUUCACAUAGCCUACUCCGUAGAAAGUAGAUCUGCUCCUCAGACUGAUGAACUUCUCGCAGGGAAUAACAACCAAGACAGGCAGCACACAAAAGCCAGAAAGCACCAGAUGGUUGCAAAAAACAUUGUGUUUUACCACUGUUCUU